AUGGGCGACACCGGCGCGAACAUGGGCCACUGGGCGGGCAUCUACGGCGUCGGCGGCAAUGGGGCCGCGGCGGCGGAGGGCAGCGUGGUGACGGUGUCGAGCCCGACGUCGGGGGGCUCGGGCGGCGGGAGCCCCACGAGGUCGGCGCCCGGGGUCGAGGGGGGCCGCGUCGGCAAGCCGGCGCGGCGGAGGUCCCGCGCCUCGCGGCGGGCGCCCGUCACGCUGCUCAACACCGACACCACCAACUUCCGCGCCAUGGUGCAGCAGUUCACCGGCAUCCCCUCCGGCCCCUACGGCCCGGCCGGCGCGGGCGGCGGGCCCGUGAUCAGCUUCGGCGCGGGCGGUGGCGACUACGGCCUCGGCGGCGGCAUGCCGGUGCGCCCGUCGCCGAGCUCGGCCGUGAUGUCGUUCGACCACCUCGGCCACCACCGCCCGUCCGCCGCCACGUCGUCCCUGCAGCAGCAGCAGCAUCAGCAGAGCCAGCUGUUCCGGCCGCAGCAGCAGCAACAGUACGCCGACUACGGCGGCGGCGGCGCGGACAUGUCGUUCCUGCACGGGUUCGAGUCGUCGGCGGAGGACAGACUGCUGCUGCAGAGCAUACAGGCGGCGCAGAUGCUGCCCCGGCCGGCCUCCACUAACACCCCCAAUGGCUACAACUUCGGAUGA
rnacentral:rRNA from 1 species